rnacentral:miRNA from 1 species
CAAAGUUGAUCGUGUUUAUGACGUCGAAUAUCGACGUCAUAAACACCAAAGUUGAUCAUGUUUAUGACGUCGAAUAUCGACGUCAUAAACACCAAAG